rnacentral:lncRNA from 1 species
GCCCUUGGGCGGGGUGAGCGGCCGGAACGUGCCGCGGGCGGCGCGGUUGCCGGGGCAACUGUGGGCGGGGCGAGCGACCCCGAGCCCGUGGUUGCCCAGGCGACUGUUAGGUGGCUUACGCGGCCCGGAUGCAGCAGAAACACCAGCGUUGCUGCGACCGCGUUGGCGAUGGCGCACGAAGGCUCGGUGAGCUUCAGUUCAGCUGGGGAUGCGCCAGAGCCAGGGUCGGCCGUUAAGGUCGGUGUCGGGAACAGUGGGCUGGCUCUGGGCCGCCCAGUGCCCCUACUUGCUCCCGCCCACCGCGCGGGAGUUUAGAUGACCAAGGAAGCCACGUCGGUACUCGGGCAGAAAACCUACACCUGCACGGUGCCCACUCAAACGCUUUGUUACACUCAAGCCAUGAGGGAAAGGGUCAGUGGGUGGUGUAGAGCCCGAGAACAGGAAGUGGAUUUUGAAACAGCUAAUGAAUGUAGUAAGUCUCUUACAUGGUGGUGCGUAUUUAAAUGGAUGAGCAUUUAGAGAGGGAAGAUAACAGAAAAAAUCUAUUUCGAGAAUUUCAAGAGGAAGAAAUAUAUUAAAUAAUUCAGAGACUGCACUUGAAAGUCAAAUUGUUUAAGAGCCAAUCAAUUUUAAAAUAAAGAAAACGGGGCCGGUCUCAAUGGCUCAUGCCUGUAAUCCCAGCACUUUGAGAGGCUGAGGCGGGAGGAUUGCCUGAGCUCAGGAGUUCAAGACCAGCCAGGCCAACAUGGCGAGACCCCGUCUCGACUAAAAUACAAAAAAUUAGCUGGAUGUGGUGGCGCGGUGCCUGUAAUCCCAGCUACUCGGGAGGCAGAGGCAGGAGAAUUGCUUGAACUCGGGAGGCGGAGGUUGCAGUGAGCCGAGAUCGCGCCACUGCGCUCUAGCCUGGGUGACAGAGAGAGACUGUCUCAAAAAAAAAAAAAAAAAAAAAAAAAAAAGAAGAAGAAGAAAGAAAACGGAUUUGAAGAGCCUUUGUGCAAAAAUAUCUCUGUCCCUUCUGGUCACCAUCACGGGUGUCAGAUGCGAGGCUGGGAGGGGAGGUCUAAGGAAACAACUCUCUUUACUCAGUCCAGUCAGCCCUGCUCUAGUCAAGCUUGGCCUGGGCUAUGGGCCACUCCUGGUGCUUGCUACAGGGCUGUUCUCACUGGUGGAUAGGGUUAAUGAGACUUCAGGGAUUUUGAGUUCUGCAAGACUUAGGAAACAGCAGAUUUGGGGGGAUAAUGAAUUUUAGGAAACAGAUAUGAGACAAGGUUUUAGCGGGGCAAUAGGCAAAGGUUUGGGAAGAUCACAUUUGGAAGUACAUUUUGGAAGGAACCAGGUUCAGGGAGACUGUUGUGGGGAAUUGAGGGAGCUCCCAAGAGAUUGUUUGUAAACUUUUUAUGUCUCUAAAGUGAGUUUUGGGGACUAGUCUUUUUUUUUUUUUAAGUGAUUACAAAAGGAAACAAACUCAUUGUAGAGAACUUACAAAAUAGAAAAGAGCAUAGGAAGGAAACGUAUCCUCUGUUAUCAUUUUGAAGUUUUCCUUUUGUUGAACACAUAGUGGUUUACAUAUAUGAGAUCAUAAUUGAUGUGUAAGUUUGUAUCCUGCUUCUUUCAAUUAACGUUACAUCAUAAACAUUUGCUUUAUGCCAUUGCAAAUUCUUUCUAAAGAUUACCUUUAAUGGCUGGGUUGGUGGCUCAUGCCUGCAAGGUGGGCAGAUCACUUGAGGCCAGUUCAAGACCAGUCUGGCCAACAUGGCGAAACCCCAUCUCUACUAAAAAUAGAAAAAAAAUUAGCCAGGCCUGGUGGCAGGCGCCUGUAAUCCCAGCUACUCCGGAGGCUGAGGCAGGAGAAUUGCUUGAACCUGGGAGGCAGAGGUUGCAGUGAGCCGAGAUCUUGCCACUGCACUCCAGCCUGGGUGACAGAGCGAGAUUCCGUCUCAAAAACAAAAACAAACAAACAAAAAAAGAUUACCUUUAAUCAUUGCAUAAUAUUUCAGUAUAUAUAGCAUGUCAAUUAUUUAUUCUCUUUUUAAAGACAUGUUUUCAAUAUUCUGCUAUUAUAAAAAUACCGCAGAGAAUUUGUUGGAGAAUAUAUUUUUAUCUUCAUUUCAGAAAAUGCCUUUUGGUUGUAUUUAUAGAACUGAAAUUGCAGGGUUGAGGAAGUGAAAACAUUUUUUAAUGUCUUCAUGCAUACUGUUGCAGCAUGGUAUCACACUAAACCUUUGCCAAUGCUGAGUAUUCUUGUUUUUAAAAUAAUUCCAAUUUGAUGAACUAGAAAUCAGAAUGUCAAUACUAUAUUUAUUAGUCAUCUACAGUCCCUCUCUUGUGAAAUGUCAUGUCCUUUGCUUAUCUUUGGGAUCUUAAAUGGUUUUUCUUCUUAUAGUUUAAAUUUUUAUUGCAAUAUAGCCCAAGCUGGACUUGAACUCCUGGGCUCAAGCAAUCCCCCUGCCUCAGCCUCCCGAGCAGCUGGUACUGUGGGUGUGCGCCACUGUGCCUGGCCAUUUUUCUUCUUCUAUUUUUUAUUUUAUUAGUUUUUUUUUUCUUUUUUGAGACAGAGUCUCGCUCUGUCACCCAGGCUGGAGUUCAGUAGCAUGAUCUCAGCUCACUGCAAACUCUGCCUCCCGGGUUCAAGUGAUUCUCGUGCCUCAGCCUCCCUAGUAGCUGGAAUUACAGGCGCCCACCACCAUGCCUGGCUAAUUUUUGUAUUAUUAGUAGAGACGGGGUUUCACCAUGUUGGCUAGGCUGGUCUCGAACUCCUGACCUCAAAUGAUCCACCCACCUCGGCCUCCCAAAGUGCUGGGAUUACAGGCGUGAGCCACUGCGCCCGGCCAUUUUUUUUUUUAUAUGAGCUUUUAAUUUACUCGGGGAUAUUUAUCUUUUUUCAUAUUUGUUGCAAAUGUCUUUGAGAGGCUCUGGAGUCAGACAGACUUGCAUGUGAAUGCAUUCUGACUUCACUACAUCCUACUUGUAUGAUACUGGGUAAAUUACCAUAAAAUGGAGAUAAGAAUAGUUGGUUAAAAAAAAAAAAUGUAGAGAACUUUUUAAGCUCCCCUGAGCCGGGGCUGUGCUCUUCUAAGUGGGACUCCGAGCCUGGGCUAUUUCUGGCGCUGGCGCGGCUCCAGGAAGGCAUCCGCAUUUGCGACCAGGGGCGGCUGCGGUGGAGACUGGCCUGUCCUCAGCGCCCAGCACCGCUGCUCCCGGCAAACCGGAGCAUGCACCGCAGGCCAGCGGCCGAGUUCGCCCAUCCCAGCCAUCACUUUUCCAACUAGUCCUUAGAGAAGGGAAGAUGAGCGAGUCGAGCUCGAAGUCCAGCCAGCCCUUGGCCUCCAAGCAGAAAAAGGACGGCACUGAGAAGCGGGGCCGUGGCAGGCCGCGCAAGCAGCCUCCGGUGAGUCCCAGGACAGCGCUGGUAGGGAGUCAGAAGGAGCUCAGCGAAGUGCCAACACCUAAGAGACCUCGGGGCCGACCAAAGGGAAGCAAAAACAAGGGUGCUGCCAAGACCGGGAAAACCACCACAACUCUGGGAAGGAAACCAAGGGGAAGACCCAAAAAACUGGAGAAGGAGGAAGAGAAGGGCAUCUCGCAGGAGUCCUCACUGGAGGAGCAGCUUCCUUCUGGGACUGGACAGCUUUGAUCUGCUCCCAACCCCCCACCUCCCACCCCCCACCCCUUCCCUACACCCACCAUCACCACCGCCUCCAGCCACCACCCUCAUCUUCCACCUGCACCUUCACCACCACACUACACAACACACCAGCCGCUGCAGGUCCCUAUGGGCUGAGUGGAGAGGACUUUUCCCCUGGCCUCUUCCCAUCCCUACCCCCUCCUCCCCCCGUCCACCCACUCAUACACAUGUGCCCUCCUGGACAAGGCUAAUGUCCUGCUUAGCCGCACCCUGCACCUGCUGCGUCCCUGAUCCCUUGGUGGUGACAUUGCUCUCUGGGCUUUUGGUUUGGGAGCCACUUCUCUGCUCCUCCACUGUUGCCUCUGGCUUCCCAUAGAGGGGCCUG